UAGUAAGAAGGGCAAGCUGAGCUGUGGGAAAAAGGACAAGAAGGAAGUGCCAUCUGGGGAGAUGAAAGGUGGUAUUGUGGUGGAGAUGAAGUCCAGUGAUAAAGGCAAUGAAGAGGCUGGUCUGCUAAACAAAUCACAUGCAGAACAGUGAUUAAAAAAGAAGAAGAAAAGAGACAAGUAAGAACAAGAUUUCCAGAGACGUAGAGGAUGGCGGUGGAAAUAAGAGUGCUCUGAUGGAGGAGAAGAGAGGGGAUGGAGGAAAGAGAAGAUUAAUUCAUUUUAGCUGUACAGUUUUCUUUUUUGAAAGAUUGUGGGAGGGGCUAUGAUGUUGAACUGAGGGUGGGUUUCUGUUUGGGAGGGGCAAUAAAUGUAAAUCUGGCAUUAUAUUGAUAAGGGUACGUACUGUGUCCUGAUUGUGUUACCAAGCCAAUCUUUGUAGUACAACUCUGUGAAAUAGAGCGCGGCUUAAUGCAGUGUUCUUGUACCCAAAACAAAGCAGAAAAGUCACUGUGGACACUGGAUGUUACUCUUCAUGCUGUGCUGCACCCUGGUUAUGUCGAUUAGUUCAUGUUGUUGAAUAGUGCAGUACAGCCUUUUUUUGCAUUACUGCACUUACUGUGUAUAAUUUUGAUAGUGAACUGCACUCGUGCCAUUACCCCGAUUAGUCAACCCUACAGACCACUAUACGCUUUGGCCACGAUCUGCAUGGAGCAUAUGGAUGUGCCAUUAUACACACUGUCCAGCUGUACAUUCAACGCUGGUAAAAUAAUCAAGCUGUCAUUCAUAUCAGUCUUCAUAUGGUCAAAUAUUCAUAUUUUUGCCUUAGAUAUUUUAGACCAUGCCUGCAUGUCCCACACCUAUAUGUUUUGAGCUAAAACCAAAAGCCAGUGGUGACAGAAAAGAAAGAGAGUGUGUGAGAAUCCCAUUCAAACCAUAUAUCUGAAUGCAUGGACCCAUUAAGCUCAAGUCUGAGAGUUGUGGAAGAGUUACAGAACUAACUCAAUCAUCUCAUUUCCUCUGAACUGCACUGAAUUCCAUUCAACAGCCCAAACAUAUUCAAAGACUUUCACCUAACUCUGUAAUUAUUACACAUGGGUUAGUAAGAGGACAGGUCAGAUCCUUCUUUGUCUUUUAAAACGCCUCAUAACGGGAUUAAGCAUUCACUAGUUUAUAUAGACUCAACAUAAUUCUUUUUGGAUAAUUAAAGUGCUGAGCGUUUUUGGAAAUGAUCUACUUACUGAGCAGAAAUCAUAACGAACUUACUGUCCCAAUAUACUAUUCAGUUUCAUCUUUUUCCAACACUAUUAAUAUCACUAUGUUUUUCAUUAUUUAUAUUGAAACAUCAAAUUAAACACCUUCAGCCUUUUC